AGAGGAUGCGGCUAUAAAACGCCAUCUUGGAAGCGAGACUGGGCUCUCAGCAGACACCAAACCUUCAUCUGGGACUUCCCAGCCUCCAGAACUUUCCAGAAACCUAUGGAGAAAGCACAUGGAGAUAAUUAGUUCUACUUCCAGAGAGGGUAAACAUAUCACAAAUGUACAGAUAAAGAUGAAACAUCCAAUUGCAGAUAUGAAUGACCUAAUUCAAUGGAUGAGUCUGGAAGAGGACCAAGUUCAUGGGAAAGAUCAAAAAUUCAGUUUUGAAGAUGUUGAUGAGAAGAUGAGACAAAACCAUGUAUAGAUGCGGAUGAGCUAAUUAAAUAUAUGAGUCUGGAGCUGAAAGGAAAUGCCUUGACAAGAGAAGUAAAUUUGAGGACCAUCAGUAUACAGAUGUACUUGAAUCCAUCUAUGUAAAUGCAAUCACCCUGGGAGGAAAUUUAGAGUGAGAACAGGACUGCGUGGAAAGACAUUAAAGAAGUUAAAGAAAGAAGAACUAACAAAGGCAGGAGAGAAGAAGAGGACGGAGAGGAAGUUUCCAAGAUUGAAGAAGGAGGGAGAGAGGGCUAUGGAAGUCACAGGUUGGAGGUGGUGCCCAGAGCCUGGAAUAAACAUUUACCCUAGUGUUCAUCAGAGAGUGAAUGAGGCCUGGGAAUCCAAGACUUGCCAAAGAUUAUUCUGCCUGGAACAGGUCAAAAUACAGCAAAGGAUAUGAAGGGACACUACAAGAUGGGAAAAUGGGUGCCUCAUUGUUAACUGAUGUGGACAGAUGAUGGGUAACCACAUAAUCUUCUCUACGUCAUUUUUGAUACUACCAAAAAUUCUGGGUUCUUGGCAUCAUAGCAAAACUCAGAUGUAGAGAGA
rnacentral:lncRNA from 1 species